CCUUUUGGAGGAUCUCUGAUGAGGACCGCUUGGGAAGAAUCUCUUGAGAGAGGCCUUUUGGAACAGUCUCUGGCUGGAAGGCUCUCUGGUGAAGUCAUCUGAGAUGGAGCUGGCCUGAUGUCACUAGAAUCCUUGUUUAGUCAGACCUUGUGGUGCUCUGGGAUCUAGGGACACUGACUUCCUGGCUAGUCCCACAAAGAAGACACUCUAUCUCCAGAAUCAGGGGCAUUUUCUCUGAUUGUGCCCCCAUACCUGGGAUGUUCUUCCUCAUCUUUGCCUCCUGCCUUCCUUCAAGUUUCUGCUAAAUUCUUUCUUCUAAAUUCCUCUGGAUUGUCCUGGAUUAUUGCAUUGCUACUAGUAGAGAAGUCUAUUACAUUCAAUUGUGCCACAGUGUCUCAGUCUCUGUGUACAAUGUUCUCCUGGUUCUAUUCCUUUCACUCUGCA